GCCAUUUCAGUGCUGAAACCCCUCCCAGAGCAGCCCCGGCUCACAGCUGAGCCCUCAGCCCCUUCCCAGUCCCACACCCCCUCCCACAGUGUGGGACACGGCCCCACAGCUGGGGCUGCUGGCUCAGGGCGGGGAGCUGGGCUUGCCAGGGGGCUCUGAUCCCAUUGCCCCCCAUCCCAUUCCCCUGUGGAAUUCCUGCUGCUGGGAGCGCUCUGCAUUCCAGUGGGGAGAGGGGGUCUGGCUGUGCUCCCACCUCGCUGGGCUUUUGCAGCCUGGAAAGCUCCUGGGAAAAGCUCAAGUGCAAGAUUUGGGGUGUCUGUCUUGAGCAGGGGGGAUUUUGAGGGGAGUUUUUUGAGCUCUUUACAAGGCUGAUGGUGUGGCCGAGGUUUGGGGUGGAUUUCCAUGGCUGCCACAGGGAUUAGCAGCAGAUCAGGAAGGGUUUUUCCCCUGAGCUGCCAGGAUGGAUCCAUCAUUCCAGGAUUCUGAGCUCAGCCUGUCCUUGCUCCGCUGGGGAGGUGGCAGAUCUCCAUUUUGGGAGGGAGAGGUGGAUGUGAGCAGCAGGAAGGGAGGCUGAGCAGAGGGGUUCAGGGAAACACUACAGGUGUCCCCUGGGCAUCUGCAAGCUGACAUCCCAUAAUAGCCCCUGGUGUGACACCUGAGCAGCCCCAGGGCUGGACAGGCUGCAGGAAUCUCUGUCCAGGGGCAGCACCUCCAGCUUCUCUGAUCCCUGUGAGCUCCAAAGGGAGUUUCCCUGCCCUGGGAGUCCCUUCCUCAGCCAGGUGGGAACCAGAAAACCCAAAAGCCACACCUGGAAAAUGGCUCUUGAUCCCUUUGCUGGAAUUCCUCUCCCUUUGGGAUCAGCCUGUGUGCAGGAGAAACUUGGAUUUGGCUGAAAAAUUCCUUUAAAUCCUUGAUCCUUCAGAGUGGUGCAGUUAAAAAUGAGAUUUGGAGUGAGGAGGGGGAGCUCUGCCCUUGGGGCUGGCAGCUCUUCUCAAAGGCUUGUUAGGAACUGCUGGGAAUUCUGGCACCAGGAAUCUCCUGAGCUCAAACUUUUAUCCCAGAAUAACUUUCAGGAAUAUGAAUUAAGCCAGGUUGGGCUCUGUCUCUGUCUGGGAGAAGUUGCUGGGCCACAGGGAGGCUCAGGGGAGCCUGAGCUCCUCAGUUUCCUGUCCAGGAUGAGAAAUCAGCUCCUCAUUCCAGCAGGAAUGAGCAGAGCUGCCUGGAUCACUUCCACAUAGUAUUGGACUCCUCCUGUGCCUGGAAAAAAAACCUGCCCAUAAAAACAGGGAAGUGAUCCAGGAGGAAAGGGAUCCCGAGGGGAUGUGAUCCAGGGGGGAGGUGAUCCAGGACCUGCCCUGUUCUGUGCUAGGGUGCCCUCAAGGACAGGCUGCACCCGGAGCUGCCAGGCAGACUCUGCCCUCUCUUCCUGCUGAGCACCCCUGGGAUUGUCCACUGGGGACAAAUCUCUGCCUAUCCUGGCUGGGAUGAGCUGGGAGUGCAGGAGAGCCCGAGCUGGGAGUGCAGGAGAGCCCGAGCUGGGAGUGCAGGAGAGCCCGAGGUGGGAGUGCAGGAGCCCGAGGCAGGGGUGCAGGAGAACCCAAGGUGGGAGUGCAGGAACCCAAGGCAGGGGUGCAGGAGAACCCGAGGUGGGAGUGCAGGAACCCAAGGCAGGGGUGCAGGAGAACCCAGCAGCUCCCCCUUCCUCUCCAGGCCGUGCCCUUCCCCUGCUGCCCCAGACCCUGGUUCAUUGUGUGGCUCCUGGAACCAUGGAAUAAACACCCUGAGCUGGAA